rnacentral:rRNA from 1 species
UCCGGGGGGGGCAAGCGUUGUUCGGAAUUACUGGGCGUAAAGGGCUCGUAGGCGGCCAACUAAGUCAGACGUGAAAUCCCCAGGCUCAACCUGGGAACUGCGUCUGAUACUGGAUGGCUUGAAUUCGGGAGAGGGAUGCAGAAUUCCAGGUGUAGCGGUGAAAUGCGUAGAUAUCUGGAGGAACACCGGUGGCGAAGGCGGCAUCCUGGACCGGCAUUGACGCUGAGGAGCGAAAGCUAGGGGAGCAAACAGG